rnacentral:rRNA from 1 species
AUUGAACGCUGGCGGCAGGCCUAACACAUGCAAGUCGAGCGGAUGACGGGAGCUUGCUCCUCGAUUCAGCGGCGGACGGGUGAGUAAUACCUAGGAAUCUGCCUGAUAGUGGGGGACAACGUUUCGAAAGGAACGCUAAUACCGCAUCCGUCCUACGGGAGAAAGCAGGGGACCUUCGGGCCUUGCGCUAUCCGAUGAGCCUAGGUCGGAUUAGUUAGUUGGUGAGGUAAUGGCUCACACAGGCGACGAUCCGUAACUGGUCUGAGAGGAUGAUCAGUCACACUGGAACUGAGACACGGUCCAGACUCCUACGGGAGGCAGCAGUGGGGAAUAUUUGACAAUGGGCGAAAGCCUGAUCCAGCCAUGCCGCGUGUGUGAAGAAGGUCUUCGGAUUGUAAAGCACUUUAAGUUGGGAGGAAGGGCAGUAAGCUAAUACCUCGCUGUUUUGACGUUACCGACAGAAUAAGCACCGGCUAACUCUGUGCCAGCCGCCGCAGUAAUAC